GCCGCUCCCCGGGCGAUCGCGGGUUUUGGGAAACCAAGAUUCGAGGAAAGUCCGGACAUCAUAGGACAGCGUGCCUUGCGAAAGCGAGGGACGGUAGGUUCAAGCCUACCGGACGGAAAGUGCAGCAGAAAGAUACCGCCUGGCUUCGGCUAGGUAAGGGUGAAAUGGUGGAGUAAGAGCCCACCGCUCCAAGGGUAACUACGGAGGCAUGGUAAACCCCGCGCGAUGCAAGACAUAACAGGAGAAGGGUCGUCCGCCCGACUAGAAUCUCCGGGUAAUAGUUGCACCGGCUGAGGGAAACCAAAGCUGGCUCGGCCCAUCGGGCCGUGAGAUAAAUGAUCGUCUACUGCCUUCGGGUGGGAACAGAAUCCGGCUUAUAGGGGAGCGGUAAUU
rnacentral:RNase_P_RNA from 1 species